UGGAAGAGUUGAGGUUUUGUGUGAUGGAUCCGUAGGGGUUGUGGAGAUAUUAAGAAGAAAAUACUUUUGGUAUCAAGGAGAUUCAAAAUUUUGUUUGGAGCAGGUCCCGAAUUCAAUAGAGCUAUCUCUAAGUCAGGUUGUUUGUUGAAGUAAACAUCUAUAAGUUUUAGAUAGUGAGGAUAUCUUAGUCAAGAUUGAUUUAUCUGGUUAUCUAUAAAUAGUUAAUCUAUUUUUGCAAGUAUUGUAGUUUUUACUAAGGGUUUAAGUUCUUAGGUUUUAUGUUAAUGAUAUAGGUUUGUUAGUUAGAGGAGGUUUUGCUGGGUUAUUUUUAUUGUUUAUUUAUUUAUUUAUUACUGAUAAUUUUUAUCUUCAGAUGAUAAUGGAUUUAUUAGUAUUAGGAUUUAAGGUAUUUAUAUUGGAAUAUAUGUUUAUAAAUUGAGUUUGGAGUAGUAAAUGAACUAGGCAAUUAGAUAUUUGACUGUUUAACAAAAACAUUUCUUUUUAUAUGAAUUAAAAGGUAGUCCCUGCUCAAUGUGAAGUAAAUGGCCGCGAUGUUAAAAGUUGUGCGAAGGUAGCAUAAUAAUUUUCUUUUUAAAUGGAAGGUAGAAUGAAAGGGUUAACUAGAUAUCUGCUGUGUUGUUAUGUUUAGAGAAUUUUAUUGGGAGGUUAAAAAUCCUUCUAGAUUUAAAGGGACGACAAGACCCUGGGAGCUUGUAAAUAGUUAAAGCGUAUUUAUUUAGCUGGGGCGGUUAAUAAUAGAAACAUUGUUGUGUAAAACAUAUUGUAUGGUUUUAGUGAUCAUUUUUUGAGCAAGAAGUUUAAGCUACCCCAGGGAUAACAGCACAAUUAUUUCUGAGAGUUUAUCUAAGAGGUAGUUUGUGACCUCGAUGUUGAAUUAAGGAUGUCCUCUUGAAGGAGAGAGCCUGGAGGGAGAGUUUGUUCAACUCUUAAAAACUUACAUGAUUUGAGUUCAAACCGGUGCAAGCCAGGUUGGAUUCUAUCUUUUAAAUUUAAAAGGAUUGGAUUGUACGAAAGGACUUUCAAUUCACUAGUAUGAAUAGGGUACUUAAUUGG
rnacentral:rRNA from 1 species